UUACUUGGCGAGAGCAUCUGGCGUGUGCAUGAUGAUUACCCUGUUGAAGCUCCAAAGAAGAAUGUCUAUUUUUCAAAACAAACCGUUAUGACUUGAACCCAUCUUGACCCGGACCCAUUCUAACAAGUUACCUGACCGACCUGCUUGUUUUUCCAGAUGUAAACGGGUCAAACUUAGAUCCAUUUACCUUUGGCUUUACGUUUCUUGGGGAAUUCGGAUGUAGUGGAGUCUUGCAUUAGAUGUACACACACAUCAGCAGUGCCUGUCUCUCAAUAUCAUGGAAGUAAAAUGAUUUUUUUUUGUUUUUUAAGGUUAUGUAAAAUUUGAGGCUUGUAAGCUGAUUUUUUUUUCUGCAAAUAAGUGGUAGAAUGUUGUGCUUGGAAUCCUAUCUUUAGAUUAAAAAAGAAAAAAAGAAAAAAAAAGUCUCUAAUUGCUAGCAACAGACUCACAAACACAACAAAUAUAAUUUGCUUAAAUGAAAUGAUUUUCACAAACACAAAACAAAUAUAAUUUACUUAAAUGAAAUGAUUUUCGUUAUUUAUUUAUUUAUUUAUUUUUUCU
rnacentral:lncRNA from 1 species